UCCCUAUAGCUCAGAUGGUAAAGAAUCUGCCUGUAAUGCAGAAGACCUGGGUUUGAUUCCCGGGUUGGGAA
rnacentral:tRNA from 1 species